rnacentral:rRNA from 1 species
AUUGAACGCUGGCGGCAUGCUUUACACAUGCAAGUCGAACGGCAGCGCGGGCUUCGGCCUGGCGGCGAGUGGCGAACGGGUGAGUAAUACAUCGGAACGUGCCCAGUAGUGGGGGAUAGCUCGGCGAAAGCCGGAUUAAUACCGCAUACGACCUGAGGGUGAAAGCGGGGGAUCUUCGGACCUCGCGCUCUUGGAGCGGCCGAUGGCAGAUUAGCUAGUUGGUGGGGUAAAGGCCUACCAAGGCGACGAUCUGUAGCUGGUCUGAGAGGACGACCAGCCACACUGGGACUGAGACACGGCCCAGACUCCUACGGGAGGCAGCAGUGGGGAAUUUUGGACAAUGGGCGAAAGCCUGAUCCAGCAAUGCCGCGUGGGUGAUGAAGGCCUUCGGGUUGUAAAGCACUUUUGGCGGGAACGAAAAGGACUGGGCCAAUACCACGGUUCGAUGACGGUACCCGCAGAAUAAGCACCGGCUAACUACGUG